AUUUUCGAAGAGGUUUAUCAAAAGAUCCAUAGAACUAAAUACACAAGAAUCUUGGGUGUUCACAUACUGAUCCUUCCAAAACACAACGGCUUGAAAAACAAAAUGAAUAUGCUCUGAUGAGUAGGUGUUGGUUGCGUAGGGCCCGAGCUUGUCUUUCUUUUUUGAUAGAGAGAAUAUUGCUCUGCUUUCUUAUUAGAGGCUUUGAUUACAUACUUUAGGUGGUAAAGGGUCUGAUCCAGAUUUUCUGAAGAGCGAAGAGCUGUAAGUUUUGUACUUUAGUCAAUUUUGCAGCUCUACAGAACCUUCUAAGAAGCUACCUCACUAGACAGCUUUGCAGACGGGUUAGGUUAGUAAAAGCCAGUGGUAAAAAAUAUGACUCUGUAGAAAGGAGUAUUAUAUCAGUAACAAGGAGAUGCCUUUUCAUUCUGAGGACGACAAAAGUGAAGACUACCUCUUCAAGAUUCUGCAGCUCGGAAAUCAAAUUUUGCUCGCAAGAUUUGCUAGGGAUUAGUUAUACCCCAGUUAAAAGUCGACGACUAGAGUGGAGUUUCAGACGGAGAUCAAAUAACAGAUAUGGGACACAGAGGUGCUGUUGGAGCUCUUCUGGUUCACAACAUCAGCAGACAGAAAACUUUUCAGAGCAUUGGUAGAUGGCUUUAACUAGCUGCAUAGUAAGAAAACUACUCGUGGGUAACAAGUCGGAUCUAAAGUACAUAAGCACUAAACAUCGGAAGGGAAAGCGUUGGCGGAAGCGAGCACUGUUCAAUCAUUUAUUAUCGUGUGUUUAUGUAUUAAUUAAUUAACUAAAAAAAAGCUUUGAAAUCUCCUAAAAUCUGUAUUACAAAUUUUUUUUUACAAUAUAUUGUUUUCGAUCGAAUAAAAGUGGAUUUGAUU